GGUGCGGAGCCGCAGCCGGGACUCGCCGAAGUCUGGGAGGGGAGCUCGGACCUGCCUCGGCCGCGCCUCAGCCGGCCCCGGCGCGCGGGACAGGUAGUUGUGUUCCAGUGGGUGAACAGACUCUGAGUUGAUGAAAAUUGGCACUGAAGUCAAGACAGCUAUGAAAAUUUACCCCAGCUGAGGAUUGCUGGAAGGAAUGGCUGAGGGCUAUCCAUGCUCUACCACUGAUUCACUGCAUGAUAUGAAUGUUUCUUUCAGAACACAAGCCAGCUGCUACGUCUGAUGAAGUGGGUACAGGAAGAAAGAAAGAAAGAGACGCUGCACUCAAAAGGGUGGCAAGCAAACAUACAAGUAUCAGCAGGAAUAAUAGCCCACUUUCAGACCCUCAGCUCCUGCUAGCUCAUCCCACUUCAGACUGCGUCAGAUAGUAUUAACUAAAGGGGUCAGACACAACACCAUCACAGCUCUGUUGUGUUUUAGUUCCAUCUUUGGGAAUUAGCUUCAUCAGUGAUCAUGUGAGCAGAGAUCAAACAGAGAACAAGUUUUGUUAGUUAAGUUGUGCUCUUUUGGCCAGCUGGAUGGCUCCUUCCUCAGCA